rnacentral:rRNA from 1 species
AGCGAACGCUGGCGGCAGGCUUAACACAUGCAAGUCGAGCGGGCAUCCUUGUGGUGUCAGCGGCAGACGGGUGAGUAACGCGUGGGAACGUGCCCUUCGGUUCGGAAUAACUCAGGGAAACUUGAGCUAAUACCGGAUACGCCCUUUUGGGGAAAGGUUUACUGCCGAAGGAUCGGCCCGCGUCUGAUUAGCUAGUUGGUGAGGGUACGGCUCACCAAGGCGACGAUCAGUAGCUGGUCUGAGAGGAUGAUCAGCCACACUGGGACUGAGACACGGCCCAGACUCCUACGGGAGGCAGCAGUGGGGAAUAUUGGACAAUGGGGGCAACCCUGAUCCAGCCAUGCCGCGUGAGUGAUAACAGCCUUAGGGUUGUAAAGCUCUUUUCUCCGGGACGAUAAUGACGGUACCGGAGGAAUAAGCCCCGGCUAACUUCGUG